GUGUCAGCAGCCGCGGUAAUACAGAGGGUGCAAGCGUUGUUCGGAAUUAUUGGGCGUAAAGCGCGUGUAGGCGGCUGGACAAGUUGGGUGUGAAAGCCCUCGGCUUAACCGAGGAAGUGCGCCCAAAACUAUCUAGCUUGAGUACCGGAGAGGGUGGCGGAAUUCCCGGUGUAGAGGUGAAAUUCGUAGAUAUCGGGAGGAACACCAGUGGCGAAGGCGGCCACCUGGACGGAUACUGACGCUGAGACGCGAAAGCGUGGGUAGCAAACAGGAUUAGAUACCCGUGUAGUCC
rnacentral:rRNA from 1 species